UGCCGGCUUUCCAUCAGCCGGGGUUACUGAAGAGGCACACCUUCAUUGCCGGACGUGCGGUAGGGUUCUCCUUCCAAUCAAUGGCAGACAAAGCGGACCAAAGCUCCUGGCAGGGCGUUGGUCCAUCAUUCGCGCAUCGUGCGCAUGUCUGGAUC
rfam:Rhizobium sp. Root482 contig_9, whole genome shotgun sequence.